rnacentral:snRNA from 1 species
AUUGCUUCUUGGCCUUUUGGCUAAGAUCAAGUGUAGUAUUUGUUCCUAUCAGUUUAAUAU